rnacentral:rRNA from 1 species
GACGAACGCUGGCGGCGUGCUUAACACAUGCAAGUCGAACGGAAAGGCCCUGCCUUGGUGCGGUGCUCGAGUGGCGAACGGGUGAGUAACACGUGGGUAACCUGCCCUUGACUUUGGGAUAACUUCUGGAAACUGGGGCUAAUACCGGAUAGGAGCUCCUGCUGCAUGGCGGUGGUUGGAAAGUUUCGGUGGAUUGGGAUGGACGCGCGGCUUAUCUGUAUGUUGGUGGUGUAGUGGAUUACCAAGGCUUUGGCGGGUAGCCGGCCUGAGAGGGUGACCGGCCACAGUGGGACUGGGGAAGCGGCCAGACUGCUACGUGAGGAAGCGGCGGAAAAUAGACCGCGAUGCGCGGCAUCAGGGAGCAAGAACGUCGGGUGGGAAAUGACGGCCGUAAGGUUGUAACCCGCGUGAGACUGGAAAGAAGCGUCAGUGACGGUAAUUGGUCAAGAAGCACCGGCUAACUACGUG